rnacentral:tRNA from 1 species
GGAGGAGGAUCGUCUCCCGGUGGGACGCCCGGACUUCAAAUCCGGUGAGGGGCGUUCGACGUCCCUGGUGGGUUCGACUCCCACCCUCUUCCGCCA